GACGUAGGAGGCGAGCGUUGUCCGGAUUCAUUGGGCGUAAAGUGUGCGCAGGCGGCCGAGCAAGUCGAGUGUGAAAGCCCCGGGCUUAACUUGGGAAUUGCGCUCGAAACUACUUGGCUGGAGUGUGGCAGAGGGAGGUGGAAUUCCACGUGUAGCGGUGAAAUGCGUAGAGAUGUGGAGGAACACCAAUGGCGAAGGCAGCCUCCUGGGCCAACACUGACGCUCAUGCACGAAAGCGUGGGGAGCAAACAGG
rnacentral:rRNA from 1 species